AGUCGAAAUCAUUUAUUUUGUUUUAAACUAAAUACCAUAUUCGGUUCAUUCGAGUCCUUUUUGAGUUCAUUCGUAGGCCAGGCUUACGGCUAGUAGGAAGAUUAGGAGAAGAGCUAUGGUGAGCAUUGUGUUUAGAUUAGUUGUUUGUGAGGCUCAUGGUAGUGGUAGGAGUAGUGCAAUUUCUAGAUCAAAAAGGAGGAAUGUGAUGGCUACUAGGAAGAAUUUUAUAGAGAAGGGGAGGCGAGCAGACCCUAUGGGGUCAAAUCCACAUUCGUAUGGGCUUGUUUUUUCUGAAUACACGUUCAGUUGGGGAAGUCAGAAUGCGAUGGUUACGAGUAAUGUAGCUAGCGUGAAGUUAGUUAGGAGAGUAAUUAUAAGGUUUAUUGAUAGUUGUGUAGUUGGUGUAAAUGAGUGGGGUAGGAGGCCUAGUAGGUUUGUAGAUCCAAUAAAUAAAAUUAGGGACAUUAGCAUUAAUGCUCAUGUCUGUCCUUUGGUAUUAUGAAUACUCAUUAUUUGUUUUGAUACUAAUUGAAGUAUUCACUGUUGGAGGGAGAUGAGGCGGUUGCUGACUAGUCGGUUUGAUGUGGGGAAUAGUAGGCUAGGGAAUAAAACAAUAAGGGUAACGAGGGGGAGGCCUAAUAUUAUAGGGGUAAUGAAAGAGGCAAAUAGAUUUUCGUUCAUUUUGUUUCUCAAGGAGUAUUUUGUUUCGGUGUUUUUGUUGUUAUUAAUUCUGGGUUGUGGUAGAAGUUGUGUUUUGAGAUUUUUAGUUGAAAAAUAAUGAAGAGGACUAAAAAUAUUGAUAGAAUUAUUGUAAGUCACGUUGAUGUGUCUAGUUGUGGCAUAUCAUCAAGGAGAAUAUAAUAUUCUCAGUCUUUAACUUAAAAGGUUAACGCUGGGAUAGCUUCUUGAUGAUUUUAUAGUAUUGAUGCGGAUCAUUUUUCAAAGUAUUUUAAUGGGACUAGUUCAAGAACAAUUGGCAUAAAACUGUGAUUUGAUCCGCAAAUUUCUGAGCAUUGACCGUAGAAUAGGCCUGGACGAGUUGACAUAAGGGUUGUUUGAUUUAAACGACCUGGAAUUGCGUCUGUUUUUAGUCCUAGAGAAGGGACUGCUCAUGAGUGUAGGACAUCUUCGGAAGAGAUUAGUAUUCGGACUGUUAUUUCCAUGGGUAAUACAACUCGGUUGUCUACUUCUAGUAAACGCAGUUCUCCUGGUUUUAGUUCUGAUGUUGGGAUUAUAUAGGAAUCGAAGCUUAGGUCUUCAUAAUCUGUAUAUUCAUAGCUUCAGUAUCAUUGAUGCCCUAUGGUCUUUACUGUGAGAGAUGGGUUGUUGAUUUCAUCUAUUAUGUAUAGGAUUCGCAAGGAUGGAAGAGCAAUCAUAAUUAAGAUAAUGGCUGGUAGAAUGGUUCAGAUUGUUUCUACUUCUUGCGCGUCUAUGGUACUGGUAUGGGUUAAUUUUGUUGUUAGUAUUAGUGAAAUAAUAUAAAGUACUAGAGAGCUGAUUAGGAAAACGAUUAUUAAUGUGUGGUCGUGAAAGUGUAGUAGUUCUUCCAUGAUAGGUGAUGUUGCGUCUUGAAAGCCUAGUUGUAUGGGAUAUGCCAUAUGAGAUGUACGGGAUUUUCACCUGUAAUUUAAUCUUGACAAGGUUAUGUAAUGUUUUACUAACAUCUCGUUUAUUGAGAGAGUCAUAGUGGCUAUGGUGUUGGCUUGAAACCAAUAAUAGGAGGUUCGAUUCCUUCCUUUCUUAUUUUAGGUUAACAUAUGUGGGUUCUUCAAAUGUGUGAUAUGGUGGAGGACAUCCGU
ensembl:lincRNA